rnacentral:rRNA from 1 species
UUUUGAUGAUUCCUUAAAAUUAUGCCGAAACGGGAAGAGUCGUCUCCGGCUCUUUAGGUGCUCGGCCCCCCGAUAAUACUCGCGGGGGGGACUUUGUUCGGAAUUGUUGGUCUUAAAGGGUGUGUAGGCGGUUCUCUAAGUUUGGUGUGAAAUCUCCCGGCUUAACCGGGAGGGUGCGGCGAAUACUGGGGGGCUAGAGUGUGGGAGAGGAAAGUGGAAUUCCUGGUGUAGCGGUGAAAUGCGUAGAUAUCAGGAGGAACACCUGUGGUGUAGACGGCUUUCUGGACCAUUACUGACGCUGAGACACGAAAGCGUGGGUAGCAAACAGGAUUAGAUACCCUGGUAGUCCACGCCCUAAACGAUGCAUAUUUGGUGUGGGCGAUUCAUUUUUUCCGUGCCGGAGCUAACGCGUUAAAUAUGCCGCCUGGGGAGUACAGUCUCAAGGCUGAAACUC